UUUCAACUCUCCACUUAACCAAAACACUGAAACAAAGUGGCGUGGAUUCACUGCUUCUUUUCUAAUGGAAUACAUUUUUCGCUAAUUAUUCUUUCAAAUCAGAUCCGUACCCCGUGAAGUUAGGUAUAUCGGAGUUUAUGCACGGAAUCGGGAAUGGAGUAGAGACGUAAAGCUUGAAUCCAAAUUUGGAGUUUUAAAGAAUCUGUUGCUUUGCUCGAUCUAUGAAGCAGAAUAAGCUCAAUGUUGGAGCCGAACUGAAUGUUUGCGAACAUGUCACGGUGUAAGUCGGAUCUCAAACGGAUGGAAAACGGGUGUGGGUCGGAACACUCUCGUUAGUUGCAACGCCCUUCUCUGGCUCAACCUAGCGUGAAACGAAACUUUCAAAUUAGAAGGUUGUAAUUGGCAGUUUCAACGUACCCCACUUGCCCACUACAUGACAGUUUCUUUGUCUAUCAACUGAAAACUGGUGGGAAUUUAAAUCAGCAGUUGCAAACAUGGUAAAAAUACCUAAUAUUUCGCUAACUGCAUAUUAUUAUUUUUUUUAAAUUUUAUUAUUUGAUCACAUGAUAAACAAUGCAGGUAAAAAGUGGAGAUUCAAUUGUUAAUAUCUAAACGCAAGUUAACCAAAUAAAAUUAUAUAUCAUAGCAAAACUACCUAGUUAUACGUUUAUAUUUUAUAAUGACUCUUUGUAGUUGAUUAAAUAAUGCACAC